AGUAUGUUCAUACCUUAAAUGAAGGUCCUCAAAUUAGAGGAUACAUUAACUUGUUUAGUAGAUACAAUGAACUGAAUUUAUUUAUUGAAUUUUUUAGUUGAAUUUUGCUUGUGUAAUAGAUGUGCUCAAAGAAAAACUUGAAGAGCAACGAACACGGCAAGAGGAAGAAUUAGCUCGAGUGAAAGCUCAAUUUGAAGCUCAACAAGCCGUUGUGAACUCUUUCAUAGCGCGCUUUGACAAGUAAAGAAACUAGACAAUUAAAGGAGUGAUGAAAUGGUGACCACAUGCUACCUUGAGGGCUCAAGAAUAUUUUGAUUCAUAGAGACACUAAUC